rnacentral:tRNA from 1 species
GGGUUUGUGGCUCAGUGGUAGAGCUCUUGCCUAGCAUGCAUGAGGCUCUGGGUUUGAUCCUCAGCACCA